CACUCCUACGGGAGGCAGCAGUGGGGAAUAUUGGACAAUGGGCGCAAGCCUGAUCCAGCCAUGCCGCGUGAGUGAUGAAGGCCCUAGGGUUGUAAAGCUCUUUCACCGGUGAAGAUAAUGACGGUAACCGGAGAAGAAGCCCCGGCUAACUUCGUGCCAGCAGCCGCGGUAAUACGAAGGGGGCUAGCGUUGUUCGGAUUUACUGGGCGUAAAGCGCACGUAGGCGGACUAUUAAGUCAGGGGUGAAAUCCCGGGGCUCAACCCCGGAACUGCCUUUGAUACUGGUAGUCUUGAGUUCGAGAGAGGUGAGUGGAAUUCCGAGUGGAGAGGUGAAAUUCGUAGAUAUUCGGAGGAACACCAGUGGCGAAGGCGGCUCACUGGCUCGAUACUGACGCUGAGGUGCGAAAGCGUGGGGAGCAAACAGGAUUAGAUACCCCUGUAGUCCC
rnacentral:rRNA from 1 species